GAUGAACGCUAGCGGCAGGCUUAACACAUGCAAGUCGAGGGGUAUUGGUUUUCGGACCAAAAGACCGGCGCACGGGUGCGUAACGCGUAUGCAAUCUACCUUUCACAGAGGGAUAGCCCAGAGAAAUUUGGAUUAAUACCUCAUAGUAUUAUAGGAUGGCAUCAUUUUAUAAUUAAAGUCACAACGGUGAAAGAUGAGCAUGCGUCCCAUUAGCUUGUUGGUAAGGUAACGGCUUACCAAGGCUACGAUGGGUAGGGGUCCUGAGAGGGAGAUCCCCCACGCGGGUACUGAGACACGGACCAGACUCCUACGGGAGGCAGCAGUGAGGAAUAUUGGUCAAUGGACGCAAGUCUGAACCAGCCAUGCCGCGUGCAGGAUGACGGUCCUAUGGAUUGUAAACUGCUUUUGCACAGGAAGAAACAACAUUACGUGUAAUGUCUUGACGGUACUGUGAGAAUAAGGAUCGGCUAACUCCGUGCCAGCCGCCGCGGUAA
rnacentral:rRNA from 1 species